rnacentral:rRNA from 1 species
GGACUACAGGGGUUUCUAAUCCCGUUCGCUCCCCUGGCUUUCGCGCCUCAGCGUCAGAAAAGGUCCAGCAGUGCGCUUUCGCCACCGGCGUUCCUUCCGAUAUCAACGCAUUUCACCGCUCCACCGGAAGUUCCCACUGCCCCUACCUCGCUCAAGACUCCCAGUAUCCAAGGCACUUUUCCGGUUAAGCCGAAAGAUUUCACCCCGGACUUGGGAACCCGCCUACGCGCCCUUUAAGCCCAGUGAUUCCGAACAACGUUUGCACGGUUCGUCUUACCGCGGCUGCUGGCAC